rnacentral:rRNA from 1 species
UACGGAGGGUGCGAGCGUUGUCCGGAAUCACUGGGCGUAAAGGGCGCGUAGGCGGCGCGGGUAGUCAUCGGUGAAAGUUCAGGGCUCAACUCUGAAUCGGCCGGUGAUACUCUCGUGCUUGAGCACUGUAGAGGCAGGUGGAAUUCCGGGUGUAGCGGUGGAAUGCGUAGAGAUCCGGAAGAACACCGGUGGCGAAGGCGGCCUGCUGGGCAGUAGCUGACGCUGAGGCACGAAAGCGUGGGGAGCAAACAGGG